GACGUAGGUGGCGAACGUUAUCCGGAAUUAUUGGGCGUAAAGGGUGCGUAGGCGGCCUGAUAAGUUAGCAGUGGUAAAUCGAGGCUCAACCUCGCGGAAACUGGUAAUACUGUCUGGCUUGAGUACAGGAGAGGUUAACGGAACUCCAUGUGGAGCGGUAAAAUGCGAAGAUAUAUGGAAGAACAUCAAUAACGGCGAAGGCAGUUAACUAUUCUGUUACUGACGUUGAGGCACGAAAGCGUGGGGAGCAAAACGG
rnacentral:rRNA from 1 species